UACGUAGGGUGCAAGCGUUAAUCGGAAUUACUGGGCGUAAAGCGUGCGCAGGCGGCUAUGCAAGACAGAUGUGAAAUCCCCGGGCUCAACCUGGGAAUGGCAUUUGGGACUGCAAGGCUGGAGUGCGGCAGAGGAGACUGGAAUUCCUGGUGUAGCAGUGAAAUGCGUAGAUAUCAGGAGGAAUACCGAUGGCGAAGGCAGGUCUCUGGGCUGACACUGACGCUCAUGCACGAAAGCGUGGGGAGCAAACAGG
rnacentral:rRNA from 1 species